rnacentral:rRNA from 1 species
ACUCCUACGGGAGGCAGCAGUGGGGAAUAUUGCACAAUGGGCGCAAGCCUGAUGCAGCGACGCCGCGUGAGGGAUGACGGCCUUCGGGUUGUAAACCUCUUUCACCCAUGACGAAGCGC